rnacentral:rRNA from 1 species
UUCCGGUUGAUCCCGCCGGACCUGACUGCUAUCGGAUUGAUACUAAGCCAUGCGAGUCAUUGUAGCAAUACAAGGCAGACGGCUCAGUAACGCGUAGUCAACCUAACCUAUGGACGAGAAUAACCUCGGGAAACUGAGAAUAAUGCUCGAUAGAACACUAUACCUGGAAUGGUUUGUGUUCCAAAUGAUUUAUCGCCGUAGGAUGGGACUGCGGCCUAUCAGUUUGUUGGUGAGGUAAUGGCCCACCAAGACUAUUACAGGUACGGGCUCUGAGAGGAGUAGCCCGGAGAUGGGUACUGAGACACGGACCCAGGCCCUAUGGGGCGCAGCAGGCGAGAAAACUUUGCAAUGUGCGAAAGCACGACAAGGUUAAUCCGAGUGAUUUGUGCUAAACGAAUCUUUUGUUAGUCCUAGAAACACUAACGAAUAAGGGGUGGGCAAGUUCUGGUGUCAGCCGCCGCGGUAAAACCAGCACCUCAAGUGGUCAGGAUGAUUAUUGGGCCUAAAGCAUCCGUAGCCGGCUCUGUAAGUUUUCGGUUAAAUCUGUAUGCUCAACAUACAGGCUGCCGGGAAUACUGCAGAGCUAGGGAGUGGGAGAGGUAGACGGUACUCGGUAGGAAGGGGUAAAAUCCUUUGAUCUAUUGAUGACCACCUGUGGCGAAGGCGGUCUACCAGAACACGUCCGACGGUGAGGGAUGAAAGCUGGGGGAGCAAACCGGAUUAGAUACCCGGGUAGUCCCAGCUGUAAACUAUGCAAACUCAGUGAUGCAUUGGCUUGUGGCCAAUGCAGUGCUGCAGGGAAGCCGUUAAGUUUGCCGCCU